GACGAACGCUGGCGGCGUGCUUAACACAUGCAAGUCGAGCGGUAAGGCCCUUUCGGGGGUACACGAGCGGCGAACGGGUGAGUAACACGUGGGUGACCUGCCCUCAGCUCUGGGAUAAGCCUGGGAAACGUGGUCGUAAUACCGGAUAUGACUCCAUGACGCAUGUUGUGGGGUGGAAAGCCUUGUGCGGCUGAGGAUGGGCCCGCGGCCU
rnacentral:rRNA from 1 species